rnacentral:lncRNA from 1 species
AGGCGGGAGGAGGCGGGCGGAGGAGGCCGAAGGGCUGGAGGAGGGGGCCACAGCCGCGGACUUUCUCCCUCCCCCUCGUGCGUCGGCGGGAUUGUUGGGGCGCUGGGUCCCGGCCCCCGGAUUGUGAUGUUUCAGGUGGCGGUGGGCCGGGGGACGCAGCCCGGGCCCCAGGACCUGGUCCCCAGGUCUGGUCCUGCCCCCAGCACCUCGCUCCCGUCGCGGUAUGGACCCCGCCCCCCCAUCCGCGGGUCCCCUAGGACCCCGUGGAAAGCAGCUCUUCGCGGAGGGACAGUGCCCAAGCCCUGCCCUGACCCCUGGAGGCCUGGGACACUGGCAGUGGCCUGGGUGGGGGCAAACUCAAGUGGUUGGAGAUGGGUUGGGGGCUCCUAAGUGGGGGCCUCGUGGAGAAGGAAUGGCCUUUUUCCUUGUUCUGGAUGGUGGAAGCCAUUUCCGGCCCCAGUUGUGACCCCAGGUUCUGAGAGGGGAGCAGGGCUGCCUCUUCCUCCUGCAGCCAGGCAUCAUCCUUAAUUUGCCCCAUCUGCUAGCCACCUCCCUGUUUUUAGACUCCAGUCUAUUUUCUGUAAUUGCUGUGGGCCAAAGUUGCACAGAAAAUCAUUCUCUUCACGAAGCUAAGAGCAGAGACAGCUUCCUGUCCAUCAGGAAGUGGGAGGCAGAGAGCCUGGCUGAGACCUUGUGCUGUGGGCUUGAGCCACUGGACAGGCCACUCUGUGUGACACCAUGAUGACUGACAGAGCCUCCUGGGGUGGAGGCCACAUCGCACAGGCAGUGGCAGCUCCUGGGCUGGGAGGAUGACCAUCGCCACUGAUUGAGCACCAAGUGUGUGCCAGGUGCGGUCUGGAAAGAAUUUCAGGUGGUUUUCAGAGGAGCAUGGAGGCCAGCCCUGAUCACGAGGGUGGACCCCAACAUGGAUUCACUGAACUCUGGGGCACAGAGGCUCCCAUCAGCCCUGGCUCCCACUUGAUUCAGUAACAGCUGCUGCAGGUCCUGGCCACGCAGUGCUACAGUUUGGAUGUGUUUAGACCCCAAGCGUUCACGUAUUGGAAGUUGGGUCCCCCAAGUGGCAACUGGGGAGACUGUGGGACCCCUGAAAGGUGUUUGGGACAUCUUGGGUCUGCUGGGGAUGUUCCCCUUGGAAGAGAGUAAAGUCGUUUUCAGAGGUCUCUGGUUGUCCUUGGAAGAGUGGAUUGGUAUAUAAAGAUCAAACCUCACUGCUUCUGCUUUCUGGGUUCCUGGCUCCCACGAGAUGUGUCUCAUCCCACGUGUCCCCACUAGGAUGCCAGCCACUGUGAAUGUAGUGUGGCCAGGGGGGCCUUUGCCAGAGCUGGUGCUGUGCUGUUUGGACUUUAAACCUCAAAAACUGUGAGCUAAAUAAGCCUCUUUUCUUUACAAGUUACCCAGCUUCUGAUGCUUACUUAUAGUAACAGAAAGUAGACUAAUACAUCAGGUCACCUCCAGGUUUUUGCUUGAUGUGUUCCCCUUGAAUGCUAUGCCCUGAUUCCUCCUCUCACCUUUGCCUAGUUUAUUCCUUCUCUAUCACAACCACCUCAGGAGAACUUCUCAGACACCCCGGGCCAGCCGAAUGCCUCCCGGUACCACUUCCAUGGUGUUAGAUACAAUCUCACCCUGGGGCCCCGUGUCCGCAUUGCACAUUGUGCAUACUUGAUGGUUCCUCCAUAAACGGAGAAGGCUGUGAAAACAAGGCUGUGUCUUUCACACGUCUCCAUUUGUGUACUUGGUGUACUAGCCUGGCACAUAGACGCCUCCAUGAUGAACAAAUGCAUGAAUGAAUGACUCUAAUUCUAGGCCUGAACUUAGGAAGUGGGGGCCAAAUGAGCACCAGUUGAUCCUCAUGUCCUAGGGCCAAGUAAACUGGGAAGUGGUCAAGCCAUGUUUGCAGUGGGAAGGCAAAUGCCAACCCCCAUGUCCCCUUCCUGGUGUGCACAGCCUGCGAGGGAGGGGUGUCUGACUCCAAGGGACUCGGGAAUUUGGCCUCUUUGUGGACUAACAGUGCUCUUCUUUUACGUUUUUUUUGGGGAAGGAAAAGUACGCUGCCCGAAUCCUUGGCUUCAUGGCGGUUUCCAGACACCAUGCUUACAAAGUUGCUGGGUUCUUCUAGAAUCCUUGACCUUGUUUAAAUCUGAUUUCGGCUGAGGGAGGGACUUGGAGUCAGAGACAGGACGGAACCUCUUUGAAACUCCUGGCCCCAGGGCUCUUCUGCCUUUGUGUACAGGACUGAGUUUGGGCAGGAAGCCCGGAUAGAGGUUUACAUCUCUGCCCCCAGACCACUGUAGGAACUAAUAGAAACUACAGAAGCGAACCCCAGAGUUCCCUCCCGGUGUCUGUCUGGACAGAAGUGUGAUGGGCUGAGACAGAGGCGUUGCCUCUCCACGCAGCCGUAACCCCAAGGCCAGGCAGGCAGGGGUCAGAUCUGCCAAGUCAGCUGUCCAGGAUGGGAGCGUAAGGCCACCUGGCUUUGCCCUGAAGUUCUCACUACCGACUCUGCGCCCAGACUGGUGCUUAGCUGUGGAAUUAGUCAUAUUAGGCACGUGUAGGUGACAUUUUUCAAGUAUUAUUUCAUUAAAAUAAUAACUCAUCACCAUGUAAACAUCUUUAGGAAUUUCAAAUGAUGCCCAAUUAAGAAAUUGUAAUGGGGGGCCAGGGAUUUAACUCCAUGGCACCACACCUGCCUUGCAAGUGCAAGGUCCUCAGUUCAAUCCCCAGUACCGAAAAAAAAAAAGAAGUUAUAAUGGGGGCCAGUAUGGUAUGCACACCUGAUAUCCUAGCACUUGGGAGGCAGGAGGAUUGUGCUGAGUUCAAGGCCAGCCUGGGCUACAUAGUGAGUUCAUAGCUAGCCUGAACUACAUAGUGAGACCCUGUCUAAAAAAGGUUAUAUUGGAUCCUAGCUAGGUUGACCAAUAAUCAUUCUUCAAGAACAUCUGGGUAGAGCACUCUACAUUAUGAUGUCACUAGGCUGCACUAUGACAUAAAGACUCCUCAUUUAUUCAUUCAGCAAACAUCAGUUGACUAUCCAUUCAUGGCCUGACUAUGCUCCAGUGUGGCCUGGUUCCCAACAGGACUGGAACAGGGCUCUACCAUUGUCCUUUAGUCCUGGUGUGGAAAGGUUUGGGCAACAUGAGGCCGGCUGUCGGGAGCUGUGCAGGGCUCAGUGACAGGAGAGUGGUACAAUGCAGCCUGUACCUGUCAGCCCGGAAGUGCAGGAGCCAGGCAGGCUAAGGAAUUCUGCAGCACUCUGCACACCUCCGCUUCCAGUACACACUUCCAUGUGCCACCCACUCACCUUUCUCUUACUGUUACAGAUACCUGAGAUACUCAGCUUAGAGAGAAGGAAAGCUUAUUUUGGACCCCGUGGGCCAUGAGAAUGGUAGAUGCUGAGACACAAGACUCCAAGAGCCAGCACAAGGAUGGAGGCUUGUGACACAGCGCGGUGGACAGGAGUGGAGGGGCCAGUCCUGCUUUGGCUCCUUUGAGCCGUGCGGCCUCAGCUGUAUUCCUAACCUCAUUGCUGCCAUGGUACAGUGGGGUCUCCAGACUCCACCUGGUUGGAUUGUGUGAGGACAGAGACCAGCAUAUGGAGAACCCAGGCUUUGGCCAAAGCCAGAUCAUUUCCACAGCACGAGAUGAACCACAUUUGGAAGAAGAACUGCUCCUGAACUUGGAGAACUAAAAACAAAACAAAAAAAUUUCUAAGAGUCUUAAAGGCACAGCAAGUUUGUAAAUUGGGUGACACCUCCGCCCUCAAGGAAGCCACAGUUAUUCAUGAGUAGCAGACCUCGACUUCAGCACACAUGGAAAUGGUUUGCAUGCCGACAUCGCCGGCCAGGUGGGUGACACCAGAUGGUCACCGUGACCAACAGCAGGAGCACACAGCCUGGAUCACCCAUCUUGAAGACACCCCAGGAACCCAUAAAUAAACCAGCUUUGGAUCAUAAGGUC